GACGAACGCUGGCGGCGCGCUUAACACAUGCAAGUCGAACGGAAAGGCCUGCUUUCCCUUGUGGAUUGCGGGUACUCGAGUGGCGAACGGGUGAGUAACACGUGAGUGAUCUGCCCCCAACUUGGGUAUAAGCCUGGGAAACUGGGUCUAAUUCCCGAUAGGACUGCAGGGUGGUGCCUGUGGUGGAAAACGAUUUUCUAGUGGGUGGGGAUGAGCUCGCGGCCUAUCAGCUUGUUGGUGGGGUAAUGGCCUACCAAGGCGGCGACGGGUAGCCGGCCUGGGAGGGUGGACGGCCACAUUGGGACUGAGAUACGGCUCAGACUCCUACGGGAGGCAGCAGUGGGGAAUAUUGCACAAUGGGCGGAAGCCUGAUGCAGCGACGCCGCGUGGGGGAUGACGGCCUUCGGGUUGUAAACUCCUUUCGACCGCGAGGAAGCCACCUGGUUGGAAGGGUGGUGACGGUAGUGGUAGAAGAAGCACCGGCUAACUACGUG
rnacentral:rRNA from 1 species